GUAUUUGUUUAUUUAUUUGCUAAGCAGUAGUGGUAGGCCUAUAUAAUAUGUGGGACAAUGUACAGUCAUAAUGACAGUUGGUCAUUUUCGCAAAAUAAACUGCUUUAGGAAGAUAAGAGACCCCUGUCGCGGUUUAUUUUGCGAUAACAACUAACUCUACGUCGACCCGUACCUGCACGAAGCUGACGGAAAGAUUAUUUGCGCGUCGUGCGCAACAUCUCACGCGCUGCUGGAUUGACCUGAACGUGCGCAGAUUUGGGAUUAUGGUAUCUCAAUAUCCAAAAGAAGAAAAACAACAACUGCAGAAACCAUCAUGCAGAUUUGGAAUGACACAAGGCUCUGGGAUCAAGAUGAGCAAAUUUGCUACCUCCCUCGUCUGUAUGUCUUCCCAGCAGUCACUGCAGGAUGGGCAGUUUCAAAUGAGCUCAGUGUGAAGGGGUGCACAGAUGGACUAUACCAUUAUCUUACAGGGUCCUAAAUUAAAUAUGAUCAUAAUUAC